rnacentral:rRNA from 1 species
UACGGGGGGGGCAAGCGUUGUUCGGAAUUACUGGGCGUAAAGGGCGCGUAGGCGGCCUUCUAAGUCGAACGUGAAAUCCCCGGGCUCAACCCGGGAACUGCGUCCGAUACUGGAAGGCUUGAAUCCGGGAGAGGGAUGCGGAAUUCCAGGUGUAGCGGUGAAAUGCGUAGAUAUCAAGAGGAACACCUGAGGUGAAGACGGGUUGCUGGGCUGACACUGACGCUGAGGCGCGAAAGCCGAGGUAGCGAACAGG